GAUGAACGCUGGCGGCGUGCUUAACACAUGCAAGUCGAACGGUGAAAGAGAGCUUGCUCUCUGGAUCAGUGGCGAACGGGUGAGUAACACGUGAGCAAUCUGCCCCUGACUCUGGGAUAAGCGCUGGAAACGGCGUCUAAUACCGGAUACGAGCUGCGAAGGCAUCUUCAGCAGCUGGAAAGAACUUCGGUCAGGGAUGAGCUCGCGGCCUAUCAGCUAGUUGGUGAGGUAACGGCUCACCAAGGCGUCGACGGGUAGCCGGCCUGAGAGGGUGACCGGCCACACGAGGACUGAGACACGGCCCAGACGCCUACGGGAGGCAGCAGUGGGGAAUAUUGCACAAUGGGCGAAAGCCUGAUGCAGCAACGCCGCGUGAGGGACGACGGCCUUCGGGUUGUAAACCUCUUUUAGCAGGGAAGAAGCGAAAGUGACGGUACCUGCAGAAAAAGCACCGGCUAACUACGUG
rnacentral:rRNA from 1 species